UAGUUUUGUCCUAAGUUAAAUUCGUCUAAUUUUGACCAAAUUUUUAUAAGAACAUAUUAACAUAUACAAUACCAAAUAAAUGCACUAUGGAGAUAUAUUUCAUGUUGGAUUCAAUUAAACUAAUUUGAUGUUGUAGAUGUUGGUGAUUUUUUUCUAUAAACUCGGUCAAAGUGAGACGAGUUUGACUUAGCACAAAACUAG
rnacentral:pre_miRNA from 1 species